rnacentral:piRNA from 1 species
UNGGGCUCCAGUUGCCUGGGAAACUCUGU